UAGCUGGUCUGAGAGGAUGAUCAGCCACCCUGGGGGUGACACCCGUGGCAGACUCCUCCGGGAGGCAGCAGUGGGGAAUAUUGCACAAUGGGCGCAAGCAUGAUCCAUUCAGGCCGCGAGAGUGAUGAAGCGGGUAGGGUUGUAAAGCUCUUUCUCCGGUGAAGAUAAUGCCGGUAACCGGAGAAGAACCCCCGGUUAACUUCGUCCCACCACCCGCGGUAAUCCGAAGGGGCAUAGCGUUGUUGGGAUUUACUGGGGGUAAAGCGCCCGUGGGGGUGCUAAUAAGUCAGGGGGGAAAUCCCGGGGCUCACCUCCGGAACCCCCUUUGAUCCUGCUAGUCUUGAUUAUGGUAGAGGGGAGUGGAAUUCCGAGUGUAGAGGUGAAAUUCGUAGAUUUUCGGAGGAACCCCAGUGGCGAGGGCGGCUCCCUGGCACAUUACUGACGUCGAGGUGGGAAAGCGUGGGGAGCAACCAGGAUUAGAUCCCCGGGUAGUCCCCCCCGUAACCGAGGAAUGUUAGCCGUUGGGGA
rnacentral:rRNA from 1 species